AUUGAACGCUGGCGGCAGGCCUAACACAUGCAAGUCGAACGAGUGGCGGACGGGUGAGUCAUGUCUGGGAAACUGCCUGAUGGAGGGGGAUAACUACUGGAAACGGUAGCUAAUACCGCAUACCAUCGGAUGUGCCCAGAUGGGAGUAGCUAGUAGGUGGGGUAAAGGCUCACCUAGGCGACGAUCCAUAGCUGGUCUGAGAGGAGGACCGGCCACACGGGAACUGAGACACGGUCCAGACUCCUACGGGAGGCAGCAGUGGGGAAUAUUGCGCAAUGGGCGAAAGCCUGAUGCAGCAAUGCCGCGUGUGUGAAGAAGGCCUUCGGGUUGUAAAGUGCUGUCAGUGGGGAGGCGUUACCCGCAGAAGAAGCACCGGCUAACUCCGUGCCAGCAGCCGCGGUAAUAC
rnacentral:rRNA from 1 species